rnacentral:rRNA from 1 species
GACGAACGCUGGCGGCGUGCUUAACACAUGCAAGUCGAACGGAAAGGCCCUGCUUUUGUGGGGUGCUCGAGUGGCGAACGGGUGAGUAACACGUGAGUAACCUGCCCUUGACUUUGGGAUAACUUCAGGAAACUGGGGCUAAUACCGGAUAGGAGCUCCUGCUGCAUGGUGGGGGUUGGAAAGUUUCGGCGGUUGGGGAUGGACUCGCGGCUUAUCAGCUUGUUGGUGGGGUAGUGGCUUACCAAGGCUUUGACGGGUAGCCGGCCUGAAAGGGUGACCGGCCACAUUGGGACUGAGAUACGGCCCAGACUGCUACGGGAGGCAGCAGUGGGGAAUAUUGCACGAUGGGCGGAAGCCUGAUGCAGCAACGCCGCGUGCGGGAUGACUGCCUUCGGGUUGGAAACCGCUUUCGCCUGUGACGAAGCGUGGGUGACGGUAAUGGGUAAAGAAGCACCGGCUAACUACGUG